GUGCUAAAGAUGGACUUUCAAAAAUUACUAUCUUGAAUUUAAAAAUCGAAUUUAUUUUUAUUUGUGAAGAAACAAUAAUUUAGAUUAAGGACAAGAAGACCCUAAGAAUUUUUAAAUUUUAUAUAAGAUCUAGAUCUUAUAUAAAAUUUUUAAUUGGGGCGAUUAUAAAAUAUUAUUAACUUUAAAUUCAGGAAAAUGAUCCAUAAUUAAUGAUUAGAUGUAAAAAAUACUCUAGGGAUAACAGCGUAAUAA
rnacentral:rRNA from 1 species